GGCACCCGCACAAGCGGUUGAGCUUGUGAUUUUAUUCGAAGCAACGCGAAGAACCUUACCAGGUCUUGACAUCCCCUGACAACCCUAGAGAUAGGGCGUUCCCCUUUCGGGGACAGGGUGACAGGUGGUGCAUGGUUGUCGUCAGCUCGUGUCGUGAGAUGUUGGGUUAAGUCCCGCAACGAGCGCAACCCUUGACCUUAGUUGCCAGCAUUCAGUUGGGCACUCUAAGGUGACUGCCGGCUAAAAGUCGGAGGAAGGUGGGGAUGACGUCAAAUCAUCAUGCCCCUUAUGACCUGGGCUACACACGUGCUACAAUGGGUGGUACAAAGGGCAGCGAAACCGCGAGGUGGAGCGAAUCCCAAAAAACCACUCUCAGUUCGGAUUGCAGGCUGCAACUCGCCUGCAUGAAGCCGGAAUCGCUAGUAAUCGCGGAUCAGCAUGCCGCGGUGAAUACGUUCCCGGGUCUUGUACACACCGCCCGUCACACCACGAGAGUUUGUAACACCCGAAGUCGGUGGGGUAACCCUUACGGGAGCCAGCCGCCGAAGGUGAACAAAAAAGG
rnacentral:rRNA from 1 species